AGCUGGCUGGCUUAGUAGUAGAGCGUGUGACUCUUGAUCUCGGGGUUGUGAGUUCAAGACCCACGUUGGGUG
rnacentral:tRNA from 1 species